GCCUGGGUGGCUCAGUUGGUUGAGCGUCCGACUUCGGCUCAGGUCAUGAUCUCGCGGUCCGUGAGUUCGAGCCCCACUUCGGGCU
rnacentral:tRNA from 1 species